rnacentral:RNase_P_RNA from 1 species
UCCGCAGGCUGUUCUAUCGCUGCCCUUCUACUAAUGAAGGGGAGAGGAAAGUCCGGGCAACACAGAGCAUCCCACUUCCUAACUGGAAGGUCCCAUAGUGAUAUGGGAACAGCAAGUGCCACAGAAAAAUACAGCCUCGCAGCAAUGCGGGGUGAUGGUGAAAAUGUGAGGUAAGAGCUCACGGGAAUAGCUGGCGACAGUUAUUUCGGGUAAACCUUGGGAGUUGAAAGACCAAAUAAACCGAAGUUUUAGAGCUGCUCGCUCAAUUCGGAGGGUAGGUUGCUUGAUCCUUUCGGUGACGAAAGGGCUAGAUAAAUGAUAGAACUCGACAGAACCCGGCUUACAGGCCUGCUUUUUUA